AAUAGGAAAGUUCCUGUUCGAGUUCAUGUGCUAUUUGGUACCUUUGAUUUAAAUUUUUCAAGUAAAGCUCUUUCUUCUAAAUAUUCGUUAAAACAAAUUCCAAAGUGAAAAGUAUAUUGAUUCAUGCAUACACUUUUAAGACUAUUUUCAGCUCUCUUCUUAGAACUUCGGUUCAAAAAUGUUCGAUUUCUUCCACUUUCGUCGCUAUUUGCUGUUUCACGAAGUAAAUUCUCAUCAUUCGAUAUUGUAUGCCGUACUUUCGUUAAAUCGGUAGAAAAUACUU